rnacentral:tRNA from 1 species
GGAGGUGGCUCAGUGGUUAAGAGCUUCUCUCCCAGAAGGCCUGGGUUCCAUUCCUAGCACCUUUG